rnacentral:tRNA from 1 species
GCCUGGGUGGCUCAGUCGGUUGAGCGUCUGACUUCAGCUCAGGUCAUGAUCUCACACUCCGUGAGUUCGAGCCCCGCGUCGGGCU